AGUGAACGCUGGCGGUAGGCCUAGCACAUGCAAGUCGAACGGCAGCACAGAGGAGCUUGCUCCUUGGGUGGCGAGUGGCGGACGGGUGAGGAAUACAUCGGAAUCUACUCUGUCGUGGGGGAUAACGUAGGGAAACUUACGCUAAUACCGCAUACGACCUACGGGUGAAAGCAGGGGACCUUCGGGCCUUGCGCGAUUGAAUGAGCCGAUGUCGGAUUAGCUAGUUGGCGGGGUAAAGGCCCACCAAGGCGACGAUCCGUAGCUGGUCUGAGAGGAUGAUCAGCCACACUGGAACUGAGACACGGUCCAGACUCCUACGGGAGGCAGCAGUGGGGAAUAUUGGACAAUGGGCGCAAGCCUGAUCCAGCCAUACCGCGUGGGUGAAGAAGGCCUUCGGGUUGUAAAGCCCUUUUGUUGGGAAAGAAAUCCAUCUGGUUAAUACCCGGGCGGGAUGACGGUACCCAAAGAAUAAGCACCGGCUAACUUCGUGCCAGCCGCCGCGGUAA
rnacentral:rRNA from 1 species